AACGAACGCUGGCGGCAUGCCUAACACAUGCAAGUCGAACGAGACCUUCGGGUCUAGUGGCGCACGGGUGCGUAACGCGUGGGAACCUGCCCUUAGGUUCGGAAUAACUCCCCGAAAGGGGUGCUAAUACCGGAUAAUGUCUUCGGACCAAAGAUUUAUCGCCUUUGGAUGGGCCCGCGUUGGAUUAGCUAGUUGGUAGGGUAAAAGCCUACCAAGGCGACGAUCCAUAGCUGGUCUGAGAGGAUGAUCAGCCACACUGGGACUGAGACACGGCCCAGACUCCUACGGGAGGCAGCAGUGGGGAAUAUUGGACAAUGGGCGAAAGCCUGAUCGAGCAAUGCCGCGUGAGUGAUGAAGGCCUUAGGGUUGUAAAGCUCUUUUACCCGGGAUGAUAAUGACAGUACCGGGAGAAUAAGCACCGGCUAACUCCGUG
rnacentral:rRNA from 1 species